UUGGGUGUGGUUCAGUGGUGGACUACUUGCCUAGCAUGCAUGAGGCCCUGGGUCCUAAUCCCAGCACUAUAA
rnacentral:tRNA from 1 species